rnacentral:tRNA from 1 species
GCCCUGGUGGCAUAAUGGUUAAGUGCUGAGCUGCUAACAGAAAGUUUGCAGGUUCGAACCUGCCAACGGCC